UCUCGAUAGCAUGAGAGUUAACUCAAAUUUGUAUGGGGUUGAAACGUUGCCUACGUUUGCCGCUAGGGGCGCUGUUUCAACUGCAUACAAAUUUGAUUUAACUUUUACGCUAUCGA
rnacentral:pre_miRNA from 9 species